UUAAGCACUCCACAGUGCCUUGCUGCAUCGCCCUCUCAGCCGUUGAACCUUCUUAUUGGUUUCUUCCGCCUGUUCCGCCGAAGCAGUCUUCACAUGCUGGGUACAAGAUGACCCCAGAAUUCCCAGCUGCCCUCUCAACUCAAGAAAGAAGUAUCUUACUGGUCUCUCUGCUGUUGUUCUCCUUGGAAGAUGAACUCAAUUAUGCUUCCUGUAUUUUUUGUUUGAAGAUGUUCAAGAAGCAAAUCACCUUUUCAGGACUCUGGCCUG
rnacentral:lncRNA from 1 species